AAAAUAAAUAAUCAAAACCCCUGCUUAGUGGAACUGCUGCUUCAGUAAAAUCAAGGCAAAAACUAUUAACCAUUUCAUUUCUUACAGACUGUCUUCCAAAUCUGGUUUUUGUUUGUUUCAUAAUGUUGGGGUUGUGCCUGUAGGCAAGUGGCUAUUUUGCCACUAGCCCUAGCCUUUGGUUUUUGAAAUAGGUUUUCACCUUACAUUGGCUGAGAACAUUUAUGUUUCCCAAACUGGCCUUAAAAAAUCAGCCCUAGGGGCUGGGAAUAUGGCCUAGU